rnacentral:rRNA from 1 species
GUGGCAUACGGCUCAGUAACACGUAGUCAACAUGCCCAAAGGACGUGGAUAACCUCGGGAAACUGAGGAUAAACCGCGAUAGGCCAAGGUUUCUGGAAUGAGCCCUGGCCGAAAUCUAUAUGGCCUUUGGAUUGGACUGCGGCCGAUCAGGCUGUUGGUGAGGUAAUGGCCCACCAAACCUGUAACCGGUACGGGCUCUGAGAGGAGGAGCCCGGAGAUGGGCACUUAGACAAGGGCCCAGGCCCUAUGGGGCGCAGCAGGCGCGAAACCUCUGCAAUAAGCGAAAGCUUGACAGGGUUACUCUGAGUGAUUUCCGCUAAGGAAGUCUUUUGGCACCUCUAAAAAUGGUGCAGAAUAAGGGGUGGGCAAGUCUGGUGUCAGCCGCCGCGGUAAUACCAGCACCCCGAGUGGUCGGGACGAUUAUUGGGCCUAAAGCAUCCGUAGCCGGUCCUGCAAGUCCUCCGUUAAAUCCACCCGCUCAACGGUUGGGCCGCGGGGGAUACUACAGGGCUAGGAGGCGGGAGAGGCAAGCGGUACUCGAUGGGUAGGGGUAAAAUCCACUGAUCCAUUGAAGACCACCAGUGGCGAAGGCGGCUUGCCAGAACGCGCUCGACGGUGAGGGAUGAAAGCUGGGGGAGCAAACCGGAUUAGAUACCCGGGUAGUCCCAGCUGUAAACGAUGCAGACU